UCAGUCAGCGCAGCGUAAUAAUAGAAACUAACCAGGAUUCCCUUAGUAACGGCGAGUGAACUGGGAUACCCAAUAUAUACCAUCUGUGCGUACCUCGGUGCGUACAAAUUUUAGCCCGUCGAUACUAUCCUAGCAUAGUACUGGCUUCGGCCGGUAACCUAUCUAUGCGGGAAUUGUAGCAUCGUACAAAAAUAUAUUAUACAACGUAUAUAUACGCAACCCACACUUAUAUAUAUUUUUAUGCGUACACUUACUUUCAUAAACACACAGCGCUCCCGCGUUGGAAAGCAAGUCUAUAUCCUUUUUGGAUAUGCCAUAGAGUGUGACGGCCACGUUUCAACUCUCUACGUAUACGCAUGCGUUAUAUACAUACACUGUAUUUUAUAUAUAACCUGAGUCGAGUUAUUUGGGACUAUAGCUCUAAUAGUUUGGUUGGUGGUAAUGACACAUCAAAGGCUAAAUAUUGGUUAGUCGAUGCGUAUACUCGGAGACCGAUAGCAUACAAGUACCGUAAGGGAACGAUGAAAAGCACCCUAUUGAGUUCACGGGCUCAGACUGUCUCGCAAUUUAUUGCACGACGUCUUGCGCCCAACAACUACAGUGGGAGUGAAAGAGAGAGU
rnacentral:rRNA from 1 species